rnacentral:lncRNA from 1 species
GAGAGAGGCUCCAAAACCCUCCAGGAACCCAGACGGUUGGCCACGGGUCUGCACCAAGGGCAGGGCCGCCCCCAGAACCGGCCAUUCGUAGACUACAAACACCAAGCUCCAACCUUCUCCACUCCGCCAGCCUCGAGCCGACCCCUCGGCGACACGGGACUGGAUAACUGUACAGCCGCGCAGGAGUCCCCACACCAGACGCGCGUCGGCUCCAGCAGCCGCUCCGAACAGCGCGUACGCACCGCAGGACGUGCGGCCCGCGGCCCCGCGCGGCCACCGUAGCACAGCACACCGAAGCCUCCGCAGGCCGCGGUCCUGCAGGAAGCCCUGUCGGAGACCCUAAGCUCCCGGGCUGCAAGCUCAGAGCCUAGAGCAGUUCAUUUGUGAGGGGCAGGCCCAAGUUAGAUUUACAGCUGUCCCUCGUAACUGUAACUACUGGACUUCAGCUACUACCCGCCACGCACGGUGAGCGUCUGCGGUUUCGGGACUACAAGAUCCAGCAUGCACAGAGCUCUGGGUCCUUAAAACCAAGCCCACUUGGAUUAAAAGACUAACAGUCUGUCUACUCCAAGGCAAGCUGUGGUAUGGGGUAUUGAUUACAUCCUGGUGGAGCAUUCAGUUUUCACAUUCAGAUUCAUGUUAAGAAUUACAGUACAGGACCUGCCUUUAAAAAAAAAAUCGGGAGAGAUAUACUAAAUGAUGUCAACAUGUAAUUCUACUAAUAUAUUGUUUUCAGUAACGCAGACUGUUGGAGCAAUACAUAAGAAAUAAGAGCAGAAACUACAAGGGGGAAAAAAAUCAACAAUCUCUGCUACCAGACAGUUAAACAGUUAAACAUCGAGAGAAUGAACGCCUUCUGGAAUACAAAAUAUGUUCUUUGAAUUUUAACUGUUUCACGAUUAGAAUUGAGUGGCGUUUUAUUUGAAGAUAGGGACUUGCAAUACAGCCAGACUGACCCAGAACUCAUUAUCUUCUCUCAAUCCCCUAGUGUUGGAAUAAGAGAUCUGUGCUAGGACGCUGGGAAAGUUAUUUCAUGUUAGUCUCAUGAAAACAGUUGCCUAGAAUUAAUUACUAGAGCAAUUUAUUCACCAGUCACAUGGGCCGGACAGGGGUAUAACAAGACAACAAGAGGGUCAUUUAUUAGCAUAGAUAACAAGGUAUCUGCUCCUUUGUCUGCUUGGAUAGUUUGUUUCAUAUUUUGAAAUGCAGAACACUUUCUGAUGACUUGGAGAGGAGAUAGCACAGAUCUCACAAGCUGUCCUUCUCAUAACUUCUAUAAGGACUUGUAUGAGGGUUCUCUAAGAAGCAGAACUGAUAAGAGGAGUGUAUAUUAGACUUGCUUACAGGAUGUGGUCCAGGUAGUUCAACAAUGGCUGUCUCACACUGAAAAGGCCAAGACUCUGGUAAUUGGUCCAUGAGGCUACAGGUCUCAGAAAUCCCAUUCUGGCACUUGGAUCCUGGAAGAUUCCUGGAGCACUGUCUUCAUUUCAAUUCCAAAGAAAUUGGAUUUAGUACUGGCAGCAACUGGACAAAUAAACUUGCCAGCAAAGGUGGGGCAAAUGGAUGUAGAACAGUUUCCUUCCUUUUUUUUAUUUGGACUGCUACCAAAAAAAUGUGGUCUAAAUUUAGAGUGGGUCUUUCUUCUUCAAAUAAUCUGAUUAAGAAAACUCCUCACUACAGUACCCAGCAGCUUUGGUCUGAAUUAAUUCUAGAUGUAGUCAAACUGACCACCGAGAUUUACCAUCACACAUGUGCUACCAGAAUGGCUGUAUUUUAAUUUUUUGUCAUACUAUAUUAACAAACCAUGAGAACCGAGGCUUGGAUUUAUAUGCUAACUAUAGAAAAGUAUGGUAUAUUAUAUGUAUACCACAAGCAGAGGCUUUCUGCAGAUUUAUGGUAAAACAAACUUUUUAAUUGGUUAGAAAAGGAAACGGUAAUGCCUUACAUUUUUACAGUCUCACAAGGGAGUCACAGAGGGACUUUCUAUUCUCUAACACUGGCAAGGAAUCCACUACCAUAUAAACCCCUUUCCGACUCCAGUGUGCUAAAUUAUGCAGUACAAGCAAGUAAAUAUUUAAAAUCUAUGAUCAUGGAAAAGAGUCUGCUGCUUUUCAUACUCAUGCACCAAACUGGAAUUGCAGUGGGAGAGAACAUUUCCAGUAGUGACUGGGUGGGAAUGCUGAUGAACUAUAGUUAGGGGGAAUGGGAUUCACUGGUGUUUGUGGUAAAUAAACACUAAGUUACAGUGAUAUUAAGG